UACGUAGGGGGCUAGCGUUGUCCGGAAUCAUUGGGCGUAAAGAGCGUGUAGGCGCCAGGUAGGUCCGCUGUGAAAACUCGAGGCUCAACCUCGAGAUGUCGGCGGAAACCAUCUGGCUAGAGUCCGGAAGAGGAAAGGUGGAAUUCCCGGUGUAGCGGUGAAAUGCGCAGAUAUCGGGAAGAACACCCGUGGCGAAGGCGGGCUUUCUGGAGU
rnacentral:rRNA from 1 species